rnacentral:rRNA from 1 species
UGAGGAAUAUUGGUCAAUGGACGGAAGUCUGAACCAGCCAAGUAGCGUGCAGGAUGACGGCCCUAUGGGUUGUAAACUGCUUUUGUAUGGUGAUAAAGUUAGGGACGUGUCCCUAUUUGCAGGUACCAUACGAAUAAGGACCGGCUAAUUCCGUGCCAGCAGCCGCGGUAAUACGGAAGGUCCAGGCGUUAUCCGGAUUUAUUGGGUUUAAAGGGAGCGUAGGCUGGAGAUUAAGUGUGUUGUGAAAUGUAGACGCUCAACGUCUGAAUUGCAGCGCAUACUGGUUUCCUUGAGUACGCACAACGUGGGCGGAAUUCGUCGUGUAGCGGUGAAAUGCUUAGAUAUGACGAAGAACUCCGAUUGCGAAGGCAGCUGACGGGAGCGCAACUGACGCUUAAGCUCGAAGGUGCGGGUAUCAAACAGG